rnacentral:rRNA from 2 species
AGGUGCGAUCAUACCAGCACUAAUGCACCGGAUCCGAUCAGAACUCCGCAGUUAGGCAUGCUUGGGCGAGAGUAGUACUAGGAUGGGUGACCUCAUGCGAAGUCCUCGUGUUGCAUCUC